UUUUGGACAAUGGGGGCAACCCUGAUCCAGCCAUGCCGCGUGAGUGAAGAAGGCCUUCGGGUUGUAAAGCUCUUUCGGACGGAACGAAAUGGGCGGGACUAAUACGCCUGUCUGAUGACGGUACCGUAAGAAGAAGCACCGGCUAACUACGUGCCAGCAGCCGCGGUAAUACGUAGGGUGCGAGCGUUAAUCGGAAUUACUGGGCGUAAAGCGUGCGCAGGCGGUUUCGUAAGCUGGAGGUGAAAUCCCCGGGCUUAACCUGGGAAUGGCCUUCAGGACUGCGAGGCUAGAGUGCGGCAGAGGGAGGUGGAAUUCCACGUGUAGCAGUGAAAUGCGUAGAGAUGUGGAGGAACACCGAUGGCGAAGGCAGCCUCCUGGGCCAGCACUGACGCUCAUGCACGAAA
rnacentral:rRNA from 1 species